rnacentral:rRNA from 1 species
CUCCGGUUGAUCCCGCCGGACCCGACUGCUAUCAGAGUGGGACUAAGCCAUGCGAGUCGACGUAGCAAUGCGUGGCGAACGGCUCAGUAACACGUAGUCAACAUGCCCAGGGGACGUGGAUAACCUCGGGAAACUGAGAAUAAACCACGAUAGGUCACGAUUUCUGGAAUGGAUCAUGGCCUAAAUCUACAUGGCCCCUGGAUUGGACUGCGGUCGAUCAGGCUGUUGGUGAGGUAAUGGCCCACCAAACCUAUAACCGGUACGGGCUCUGAGAGGAGAAGCCCGGAGAUGGGCACUGAGACAAGGGCCCAGGCCCUAUGGGGCGCAGCAGGCGCGAAACCUCUGCAAUAGGUGAAAGCCUGACAGGGUUACUCUGAGUGAUUUCCGCUAAGGGGAUCUUUUGGCACCUCUAAAAAUGGUGCAGAAUAAGGGGUGGGCAAGUCUGGUGUCAGCCGCCGCGGUAAUACCAGCACCCCGAGUGGUCGGGACGAUUAUUGGGCCUAAAGCAUCCGUAGCCGGUUCUGCAAGUCUUCCGUUAAAUCCAGCCGCUCAACGGAUGGGCCGCGGAGGAUACUACAGGACUAGGAGGCGGGAGAGGCAAGCGGUACUCAGUGGGUAGGGGUAAAAUCCUUUGAUCCAUUGAAGACCACCAGUGGCGAAGGCGGCUUGCCAGAACGCGCUCGACGGUGAGGGAUGAAAGCUGGGGGAGCAAACCGGAUUAGAUACCCGGGUAGUCCCAGCUGUAAACGAUGCAGACUCGGUGAUGGGCUAGCCUUGUGCCAGCCCAGUGCCGCAGGGAAGCCGUUAAGUCUGCCGCCUGGGGAGUACGGUCGCAAGACUGAAACUUAAAGGAAUUGGCGGGGGAGCA